rnacentral:rRNA from 1 species
UACCAGACUCCUACGGGAGGCAGCAGUAGGGAAUCUUUCACAAUGGGCGAAAGCCUGAUGGAGCAACGCCGCGUGCAGGAUGAAGGCCUUCGGGUUGUAAACUGCUUUUAUAAGCGAGAAAUAUGAUGGUAACUUAUGGAUAAGGAUCGGCUAACUACGUGCCAGCAGCCGCGGUAAUACGUAGGGGGCAAGCGUUGUUCGGAAUGACUGGGCGUAGAGGGUGCGUAGGCGGUGUAGCAAGUUAGAAGUGAAAUACCUAGAGCUUAACUCAGGUGCUGCUUCUAAAACUGCUAUACUUGAGUGCAGUAGAGGAAAGUGGAAUUCCUAGUGUAGCGGUGGAAUGCGUAGAUAUUAGGAGGAACAUCAGUGGCGAAGGCGACUUUCUGGACUGUAACUGACGCUGAGGCACGAAAGUGUGGGGAGCAAACAGGAUUAGAUACCCGGGUAGA